rnacentral:rRNA from 1 species
UACGGAGGGUGCAAGCGUUAUCCGGAUUCACUGGGUUUAAAGGGUGCGUAGGUGGGUUGGUAAGUCAGUGGUGAAAUCUCCGAGCUUAACUUGGAAACCGCCAUUGAUACUAUCAGUCUUGAAUACCGUGGAGGUCAGCGGAAUAUGUCAUGUAGCGGUGAAAUGCUUAGAUAUGACAUAGAACACCAAUUGCGAAGGCAGCUGGCUACACGAAUAUUGACACUCAGGCUCGAAAGCGUGGGGAUCAAACAGG